GCAGUGGUGGUUCAAUGGUGGAAUCCUUGCCUUCCAUGAGGGAGGCCUGGGUUCUAUUCCCGGCCAAUGCA
rnacentral:tRNA from 1 species